GGGAUCGCUUUACCUAUGGAUACGAGCUUGAUGUUCUCUCGAUCCAGGAACUCCAACGCCACAGACACGUUCUCCAGCUUCAUCUGUCGAAAGCGACUUCAGGAAAAGGCGGAAGGAUUUCAGAACGUCAAUUUGAAAUGACCACGGAAACUGAAGUGACACUGUACACAACAUGAAUAUGGCCUGUAAAGAAAACGGCGAUUUUCAUCUGACAAGCUGAGAGGGUGGGCUC